AAUAAAAAUGUAAAAAAAACAAUUAUGAUUAAAAAACACUUUUGAAACAUUUUUUGUGAAUAUAAAAUUAUUUAUAAGUGACAAAAUAACUAACGAAGAGUUAUAAUAUAUAUAGAGAGGAAAAAUUCUAGCGGGUCAAAACCAAAAAGAUAUAAAAACACAACCAGAAAAAUAACCGUCAACACAAAGAGUAACCGUCAAUAUU
rnacentral:lncRNA from 1 species